rnacentral:lncRNA from 1 species
UCCUGGGCCAGGGAUCAGAUUUUAGCCACAAUUGCAGCCUAAGCUGUAGCUGUGCCUAUGCCAGAUCCUUUGACCCACUGUGCAGGGACAAGGACCCAGCCUGCAUCCUAGCACUGCAGAGAUGCUGCUGAUCCCAUUGUGCUGCAGUGGGAACUAUCAAAGGAGAACUAAUACAUGUUAACCAAACUCAUAAGUAAAACUAAAAGGCAGAAGAUACUAUAAGAGUUAUAUAUUCUUCUGGAGAGAAUGUUUUCUUCCUAUAGAGGUACAUCAGACCUUCGUAUCCAUGGGUUCUACAUCCAUGGAUUCAAGCAAGUGUGUACCAAAAAUAUUUGAAACAAACUUCAGAAAAUUAAAAAAAAAACUGAAUUUACUGCACUGCAACAAAUAUUACAUAACUUUUGCAUUGUGUUUACACCUGUUUACAUACCUGUUUACAUAGCAUUUAUGUUGAGAUAUAAAUAAUCUGAGAUAAUUUAAAGGGUAUGGAAGCAUGUGCGUAGGUUAUAUACAAAUACUAUGCCAUUUUAUAUAAGAGACUUGAGUAUCCUCGGAUUUUGAUUUUGGCAUUUUUGAAUUUUGGUAUUUGCGGGGCUCCUCAUGGAUAACAAAGGACUACUGUACUCAAAUAAAAAGCCACAUUACAGUCAGAUGAUUGCUCAAUGAGCUUAAAUUCAAGUAGAACAGAUGGAAUUGGGUGAAUCACAUUAAUGUUUCUUGUCAUUAUAUUGUGAUAACUUUAUGUAUCCGCAUGAACUAGAAGAACAUACCUGCUGGUGUAUGCUUUUUAUCUGGGGAAUACUAAUAACAUGCUGACAAAUUAAAACUCUCUGAGAAAUGUUCUUUUGGCUGUGCCCUUAUUAACAUCAGUGCCUUCAAACACCAGUGGACAAAUGAUUUGUAUGAAUGCCAUAGGUUGCCUAGCAUCUUUUACCACAUUCUUAUUUUCUGUCAGAACUUUGGGGGGUUUUUGUUGUUCUUUUUUAAGGAAUGCUUUCCUACACCACAAGGAAUAUGUUUAGGGUGGCCGACUGUAGUCUCAACUCACAUAGGACCUUGUCUGCUCUUGGUGUGUUGUUUUACCUAUUGACAAUGACUGGUUCAAACAUGUUUAUGUUAUUUAAUUCUGUCUUAUUAAAUGCAUAGUGAAAUAGAUCAAGUGAAAUUUGGUAAAAUUUCUUUUCUCCAAAGUAGAAACCACAGGAAAAAAAUGUAUUAUUUUCUCCAUAUUUUUGAAUCUGUAUAUCAUAGGCAGAACGAGUACAACCAUUGUCCUACAAGCCAUCUUCUGACUACUCAAAAGACAGAGCCAUUGUUGGUGAUAACAGAGAUGAAAAUAAUCUAGAUUGUUGGUGACUUCAUCAAGCUAUUGAAUUGAGAAUCCUAAUGACCUCUCUACAUCUGAAUAUUCAGAUAAUUAAGACAUAAAUUAGCCUUAACUAGAAGUCUAUUUAAAACUGUAUUUAUAUUAAGGCUGAAAACACUUUUUAAAAAAUAGAAAGUUAUAAAAUAUUCUCAGGACAUUCCUCUUCACAUUUCUUACUAGUUUCUACUUAGGAGAAAUAUAACCUAGAUUUCUUCCUUUUCUGCUAAAUGUUAUUUCUUUCUGUUUAUCAGUUUUUCUUCAGGGUUCAAUAAUUAAUCCACUUCCUUUACCUUCAGUCUUCACCUCUUUGGUUAAUCUGAUCAAAUACCAUUACUUUAAUCCUAUUCAUAUGCCUAAAACUUUCAAGUUUAUUUUUCCAACCAGACCUCUCUAGAGGCUCCUGACUGUCAUUACAAACUGCCCAGUUGACAUACCAUUUGUAUGUCUCAAAGUCAUUUCAAAGUGAUCACACACAAUUUAUCUAUCUAUCUAUCUAUCUAUCUAUCUAUCUAUCUAUCUGUCUGUCUGUCUGUCUGUCUGUCUGUCUGUCUAUCUAUCUAUCUAUCUAUCCUUACUCCUCAAGUUCUUCCAGCAUUUCACUUGGGAAAACGAUAUCUUCAUUGACUUGUACUCCAUGAAUAUCACUGUCUCUAUAACAUCAACCAUCUUAAUGCUUUCUCAUUCCAGUUUUAAAGAGCUAGUCUUUGCCCUAAGCAGCAUAAUUUUAUUCCUAUUCUAGAGCAAUAGGCUUUUAAAAGGCAUAGUCAUAUUGUUCCUCCCCACCUUACAUUUUCAAUGACUCUUCACUGUCUUGAAAAUAAAAUUGAACUUUUAACAAGAGCAUGGAAAAUCCUAUACAACAUAGUUUUGCCUCUCUCUCUGACCUCAAAUAAAACUCCACUGAUCCCCCCUUAAGUAAAAUCCAGCCUUUCUGGAUUUGCUCUAGAUUUCUAAUAUCUUUCAUGUCCUAAAGCUUUGCCCUUUCUUACUAGUUUUAUAUCAAUCUGGAAGAAGCUUUUACUCUCAAAUCUUACUUGUCAGGUUCUUUUUUUUUUUUUUAACAGUCUCAGUUCAAACACUAUCUUCUAAAAAGAUUCUCCCUCACUAAUACCAGAUAUAACAUUUAUUAUUUGUUCAUUGUGAACCUUCUCACAUAAGACUUCAAGUUACUGGAGGGCUAUCAUUUCUUAUUGUUUUUUUCACUGUUGAACCACCAUCUGAGGGUACCCAGAACAUAGCAGGUGAUCCAAAAUAAUUUUUAAAUAAAUAACUACAAUUAUUGUUUUAUUCAUAGUACUUAUCAUGUACUGACAAAAUUAUGUUAACAUUUAAUUUUGGAGUUCUUCUUUGUAGAAUAUAAACUCUUUAAGGAGAAAGAUUGUCUUUUCUAAACCAUUGUAGUAUCUUUGGUUCAAAGACAAUUGCUUGGCAGACAAUAAGCAUCAUAUAUGUAAGUAUAUAUGAAUGGUUAAUUUUUUUGAUAGUGAUUUGCCAAUGGAGGCAUGUACUUGGCAUAAGCAUUUAUUUUUGUUUGUUUGUUUGUUUUUGUUUUUUGGCCAUGUCUAUAGCUUGCACAAGUUUCAAGGCUGGGAAUCAAACUCAAGCCCAGGCAGUGACAACGCUAGAUAUUUGCUAGGCCACCAAGGAACUCCUAGCAUUUCUUAAAUGUUGCAGUUUGUUUUAAAUUUUUUUCUUUCUUUUUUCUUUUUCUUUCAAUUCUUCCUUGGAAAUGUAGUGAAAUACCAUGAGUACAUAUUCUGGGACUACAAGGCCUGUGCUUGAAUCCUGCCUCUUCCACUAAUUAACUCUGUGAUGUAUAGAAAAAUACUUUACUAUUAUGUUCUUCAAUUUAACCAUAUGAUUGAUGAUAAUAGUAACAUUAUCUAUCAUAGGACUGCUGUAAGGGUUGCAUGAGUUAGCAUUACGCCAGCAGUUAGCACACAGUAAUUGCUCAGUAAUGCUGAAUAUUAUUUAUAGAUCUUUCAUUUUAUCCAGCCAAAAUGGAAAGACUCCAGGUCAUCUUCCUAGUUAGG